rnacentral:rRNA from 1 species
GCGCUGAUGGAUGAGCUCGCGUCGGAUUAGCUUGUUGGUGAGGUAAAGGCUCACCAAGGCGACGAUCCGUAGCUGGUCUGAGAGGAUGAUCAGCCACACCGGGACUGAGACACGGCCCGGACUCCUACGGGAGGCAGCAGUGGGGAAUCUUGGACAAUGGGGGCAACCCUGAUCCAGCCAUGCCGCGUGUGUGAAGAAGGCCUUCGGGUUGUAAAGCACUUUCAGCAGGGAGGAAGGCUUUGGGCUAAUACCCUGGAGUACUUGACGUUACCUGCAGAAGAAGCACCGGCUAAUUUCGUGCCAGCAGCCGCGGUAAUACGAAAGGUGCAAGCGUUAAUCGGAAUUACUGGGCGUAAAGCGCGCGUAGGCGGUGUGUUAAGUCGGAUGUGAAAGCCCAGGGCUCAACCUUGGAAUUGCAUCCGAUACUGGCACGCUAGAGUGCAGUAGAGGGAGGUGGAAUUUCCGGUGUAGCGGUGAAAUGCGUAGAGAUCGGAAGGAACACCAGUGGCGAAGGCGGCCUCCUGGACUGACACUGACGCUGAGGUGCGAAAGCGUGGGGAGCAAACAGGAUUAGAUACCCUGGUAGUCCACGCCGUAAACGAUGUCUACUAGCCGUCGGGGUCCUUAGUGACUUUGGUGGCGCAGCUAACGCGAUAAGUAGACCGCCUGGGGAGUACGGCCGCAAGGUUAAACUCAAAUGAAUUGACGGGGCCCGCACAAGCGGUGGAGCAUGUGGUUUAAUUCGAUGCAACGCGAAGAACCUUACCAGGUCUUGACAUCCUCGGAACUUGGCAGAGAUGCCUUGGUGCCUUCGGGAGCCGAGUGACAGGUGCUGCAUGGCCGUCGUCAGCUCGUGUCGUGAGAUGUUGGGUUAAGUCCCGUAACGAGCGCAACCCUUGUCCUUAGUUGCCAGCACUUCGGGUGGGAACUCUAGGGAGACUGCCGGUGACAAACCGGAGGAAGGUGGGGACGACGUCAGGUCAUCAUGGCCCUUACGACCUGGGCUACACACGUGCUACAAUGGCUGGUACAGAGGGUUGCUAAGUCGCGAGGCGGAGCUAAUCCCUUAAAGCCAGUCGUAGUCCGGAUCGGAGUCUGCAACUCGACUCCGUGAAGUCGGAAUCGCUAGUAAUCGCGGAUCAGAAUGCCGCGGUGAAUACGUUCCCGGGCCUUGUACACACCGCCCGUCACACCAUGGGAGUGGAUUGCACCAGAAGUGGCUA